UUAUAUGGCUUUAUUGAAGAACAGCUGUCUAUAAUAUACCUCAAGAGUAAUUUAUCAACACCAAUAUAGGGGCUGUCUUAACAGCAGGGCCUUAUAGAAGUUAUUUAUUGACAGUAUGUAACAACAUAUAUAGACCAGAAUUCGAAACUCAGACCUGCAAGGCCCCAUGGGCAACUGUCCGGUGUGCCCAUGUCUUAAUAUGGCACUGACCAAUAUUGUAUAAUGCCCUUAAUUAAAAAGACACUAUCGCCUCGCAACCUAAUUGCUACUUCCAUGUUAUUUUUGUGGUAUUGAGAAGCAUACAAGAGUUGUUUCCCCUUAGAAAAGGACCAGCUAAUAUUUUCUGUUUGUGUAUUCACGUGUCUAAGUAUUCUAAAAUUUAUUUAAUUAGUGGUUUGAUAUAUCGCCAACAUUAUUUUAACUACGCAAAUACUCUGAUGAGCGUCAUGAUCGUUUCAUCUUUCAUUCAGUAAGUUAAAACUAAGUAAAAAGAAAUAUACCUAACUUUUGACUUCGGACUUUGAAUGUUGUUGACAUUUCAUUCCGAUAUUCUAUAGGAACGGGCAUUUUAUUGAACCAGCACUAAAUAAAUAUGUCGACAAUAAAAAAGAUGAGUAUCCAAGGGAUACGUAGUUUUGGCCCUGAAGAUAGUGAUAAACAAGUCAUAUCUUUCUUCUGCCCUUUGACUUUGAUAUUAGGACAGAAUGGAACUGGUAAAACAACUAUUAUAGAAUCUUUGAAAUAUAUUACAACAGGUGACUUACCACCUGGAUCUAAAACAAAUGGUGCUUUUGUCCAUGAUCCAAAGAUUGCCCAUGAGAAAGAAGUUAAAGCACAAGUCAAGUUACAUUUCAAAGACAUUAUUCAGAAAGAUGUUAUUGUAUCACGAGCAAUGACAGGAACACAAAAGGCUAAAAAAGUUGAAACGCGAACUUUAGAUGGUGUUAUAACAAGAAGAUCAACUGAUGGAGACAAGAGCCUCACUCAGAAAUGUGCUGAAAUAAAUAGAGAAAUGAUUAUUUCUUUGGGUGUCUCAAAAGCAGUAUUAGAAAAUGUCAUUUUCUGUCACCAAGAAGAGGCUAACUGGCCACUGAGUGAAGGAAAAGUUUUAAAAGAGAAAUUUGAUGCUAUAUUUGCUUCAACUCGCUAUGUCAAAGCCUUAGAAUCAAUUCGUAAAUAUAAACAAGUACAAGAUGGUUCCAUAAAAGAAAAGAAAACGGAUCUAAAGUAUCUGAAAGAACACAAAGAAAAAGUCACACAAUUAGAAAAUAACAAAUCAGAACUGGAAAGUAAGUAUGCAGCUUCCAAGGAUUCGGUGAAGAAAAUGAUGGAAGAGCUAGAACCAAUUAAAGAGAAAAUCCAUAGCAUCAAUGUACGCUCUGAAGAAAUGUACAAACUAAAGAAUGACAUUGAGGUUGUCCGAACUGAAAGAAAGCAGUUACAGAUAUCUGUUGAGGAAUUAAGAAAAAAUAUUGAAACUGAAUUUGAAGGAAGCACUGCUGAGUUGCAGACAAUGAUAAAUAAAUUUGAAGACAACUUGCAAGAAAAAGAAGACUCUCUUUCAGAGUUUAAUAAGAAACUCGACAAACUUGCAAAUGAGAAUGAAGGUUAUGAACAAGAAAAAUCCAUUUUGUUGGUAGAGAUUGGCAAACUGGACCAAGAAGCUACAAACAAUGAAGAAAAUAUACAAGCCCGUGCAGAUUUGGUAAUGCGUCUGGCUACAAAAUAUAAUAUUGAUGACUUUGAUAAGAAUACCAUAGACAACAAGACCACAAAAAAUUUUAUAGAGAUGUUGAAUAACACCCAUCAACAAUUGAUGUCUGAUGUCAAAAUAGAAAAGAAAAGAUUUGAAGAGAAGGAGCAAAGUAUACAGCAAGAAAUGGAUGGGGUUAAAGAAAAAAAGGUUCAACUUGAACAGAGAAUUAAGAUGGAAGAAGAAAUAACGAAAAAGAACAUAGCAGAAAUUCAAAAAUGUGAGUAUGCCCUGCAACAAAUGGAAAGUUCUGCCAGAUACCGUGAUGAAAUCUCUGCUGAUUUGAAAUCUGCUCAAAAGUCAUUGAAAGCUACUGAGGAAUCCAUCAAUGUUGCUGAACUAAAGAAAGAAAUUCAGAAUAUGUCUCAGGAGAAGAAAACUCUGGAAGAACAAUAUGAUGAACUUGAUGGUCUUCUAAAAAAGAUGCAUCAACAUUCUACUGUACAGACUCAGAUCAGUAUGUUAGACAAAGAGAAAACUGCAAAAGAAGAACAAAUUAAAAAAUGUAAAUCACGCCAUGAAACCAGCAUUAUUCAUCUUUUGGGAGAAAUGCCACGUAAUGAUCUCCGUGGAACUUUGGAUGAAUAUGUGAGCAAACAGUCAAAUAAUGUUCAAAAGUCAACUGAAAAGUUGGAUAAAUUAAGGCAAGACCUGUCCAGUAAAGAAACUCAGAAGAGAAUGCUCUUAGAAGAGAUGCGGAAAAGAGAGAAUGAAUUAAAAAAGCUGGAAGAAAAGCUGCAAGAUGCUUGUGGAGAGGACACUUUUGAAGAUAGCUUACAGAGCAUACAGCUAAAGCUCACUCAAGUGCAAGACCAACGUGGGUCUUUAAUGGGUUCAGAACAUUUUUUCAAGAAAUUUGUUGUUGACCUGAAGAAAGAUAGUCCAUGUUGUCCAUUAUGUCAUCGAGGCUUUGAACAGGAGCAAGAAAUUCGGGAAUUAAUAUUAGAGCUUGAGAAUAAAUUACGGAUGGUCCCAUCUAAACUGCAUAAAAGUGAAAGAGAACUUGAACAAUACCAGAAAGAAUAUGACACUCUACAACAGUUGAAACCAAUUAAGGAAAAUCUGACUCUUCUUUCUACAACUGAUCUACCUGACAUUAAAAAUAAAUUAGACAGUGUCAACAAUGCCAUUGUGAAACUGAACAAAAGUAUUCAAGAGGCAGAAGAAGACCAGCAAGACCUUAUGAGUGAUGAGUCCUUGGGUAAAAGUAUCCUGCCCGACAUCCUCAUGAUUGAUCGCUAUCUUGCUGAAGUGAAAGAACUCAACAAGAAGUCAAGGAUCCAGAAAUCAUUGAUAUCUGAUGUAGAUAUGGAUUCCCUUGGUGAUCGCAGUCUUGAGGAUGUGUCUAGUGAAAAAGACACCAUACAGUCCAAGUUGCGUUCCACUAAUCAUGAGUUGGAGCUUCAACGACAAAAACUUAGCAAUUAUUCUGAUAAAGUGAACGAACUGCACAGUCGGGUUAAUUCAUUAAAUUCAGAGAAACUGCAGAUUGAAAAGAACCUUCAAGAGAAGAUAAAGCUUGAGGAGAACAAGGAUGAUUUACAUAAUCAGAACGUGACUCAUAAGGCUUCGAUAAAGAAACUCAAAGAAGAAUUGAAACCUCUACAGGCUAGCAUAGACAAGUUAGUUGAUGAAAAGGAUUCUAUAACCACAUGCAAAGAAGACACACUUGAGAAAAGAAGAAAGCAGGCUGAAGAAAUCCAACAGAAGGGUGUCAGUCAGUUAAAAAGCUACAUGUCAAUUAUUCUCAAUUAUGAGAAAUCCGGUAAGGCUGCACUUUUGGAAGAGAAGAAGGAGAGAUGUAAGAGUCUGAAUGACAAAGUUGAGCGGAUCACCAAUAAAAGAAACCAAUUACAAGAUAGUGUGUCUAAAAUCAGGAAAGAAUUGUCAAAAGAGAAGAUGAGGAAGCGGGAACUUGAUGAUACUUUUCUGUUACGUGAGAAAGAGAAAGACAUUGAGAAAUUGCAAGAUAAAGUAGAAAUUCUUAAGAAGAAACUCGGUGAUUAUGGUGACAGCAGUUUAGCUGAACAGCUUCGCUCAUUGAAGAAAAAGCAGGAAAAACUUGACAGGGAGAAAGACAUUGCUGUAGGACGCCAAGAUGGCUUUCAAGUACACAUUGCUUCAAUCAAUGAAGAACUUGCAUCUGACAUGUACAAAAAUGCUUUCCAAAGAUAUCAGCAAACAUUAAUUGACUUACGGUGCCAUCAUGAAGUACCAUAACUUGAAGAUGAAAGAGAUCAACAAAAUCAUCCGAGAUCUUUGGAGAAACACAUAUAGAGGAAAUGAUAUAGAAACUAUUGAGAUCCGCUCUAGUGAGGAUGAAAGCGGAAUCAUGAAGAGUCGACGUAAUUAUAACUAUCAUGUGGUCAUGAUUAAAGGAGAUGCAGUUAUUGACAUGAGGGGAAGAUGCAGUGCAGGCCAGAA
rnacentral:misc_RNA from 1 species